GUCCGACGGCGUGGGAAAUGCUCACAGUGAUGAACUUGGAUGGGAAGAGGCAGGCGGAAAGUUGAGCUCUGUGUGCCGCUCCAGCCAAGAAGAGCAGUGGAGUCUGCAUUCCAGCUUGUGCCUGAACGCGCAGGAGGGAGGCCACCACCCACCAGCUAUUCUGGUGGGAAGCUGCAGCGUUCUGCUCUGGCUGGAUUCCGGGCAUGAGUGAUGAGGAAACUCAGAAGCUGGGAAGGCACUGCUGGGCUGUCCAGUGCUAGGGUGGCCCUGGAGUCGGGCUCCAGGCAGUCCCAUUGGCCCUGGCAACAAUCAUGGGACACUUGUGCUCCAUUCAGUGAGACUCUAGGUAUGCAGGCACUCGGGUCACAUGACGAUCUUGACAGCCUGGCUGUGCAGACUCCAUUUCAGCCUUCCCCAUAGGGGUGGAAGUGAGAACUGGAAGCUCAGACCAGGAAAUAAAAGGGACGGGUCCAGAAGCUAUCAGACUUGGCUUUUCAUUCCUGUCUCUGCAUCUGGUCCAGCACAGCAGGCCACAAAAUGUUUGUCAUCACUCACCCGUGACUUGUCCUUACAUCUGCGAAGCCCGAGUUUGAGAAGACAAGGCUCCUUUGGUCAGCACUGGCCUCUGCCCGCCCAGCACAGCGGUGCUGGAUGAAGGAAUAACAACUUCAUCUUUCCCACCUCCGACUUGGUACCCAGAGCUCUGACCUAGACUGAAGGCAAAAGGGAUGCAGCUACCUCCUUCCCUGCUCCUCACGGAUUUGAAAGAGGAACAAGCUCACUUGCUCCAGAACAAGUGUUCAGAGAAACUUCUCUCCUAAGAACAGCCAAGGUGGCAGAGUCCUGUGGGCCCUCCCUGCACCACGUUCUGCAGGCAGUGCACUCUGUCCUGGGACUGGCUCUGACUGUCACCCUGUAUUCCCAGUGAUGAUGUCAAACAAAGAAAGCACUUCCUUUGACUGUUGCAUCUGCCUGUGGGCUGUUUCAGAGUGGCCUGCACAGCCUAUGCAAGGUGCUGAGCUUUCCCCUAAUGUACCCGGUGUCAGGAUGCUGUUCUAGGAUGCGGUCAAAGAGUGUGCAUGGGUAAUGCUGGGAAAUUCCCCAAGUCACUGUUUGCAGAGGUCACAACCAUGGCAACAGUGUGUGAGCCUUGGCUCCUCCCACUGAUAUGGUCUUGGAAACAGACCCUGCCCAUCCGAUAUGUUACUGUAGCUAAUUUGCAUUUUUCUCAAAGCUUUAUGAACCAGCUUCUCUCCUGUGACUCAUCUGUCUUUCCACACAACCUGAAACCGGUUGUUGGUUUGCUGUAGCUCUUUAUAUUUGAGAAAAAGCAGUCUUUUGUGAUGUAGUCA